CGAGAUCUUGUAGCCUCUUUCUCUAGAAUACAACGACACAUUAUUGAUUAGUUACCUGGCCAUGUUUACCAACUACUCGAGAAUGGAGUUGAUAUGGCUAGAAGCAUGGAAAAACCAAGAACUUUGGAUGACGUUACUGAAAAAAACAAACAACCCUGGCAAUUGACUGAAAUCAUAGACCCUGCUCAAUGCCGACUGGUUUCC